CCGCGCUCCAGCUCUGCUCUCCCCCGUCCACCAACGCUUUACCCUUUCCCCUCCAGCGCCGGGGGAAUCGCGCCGGGCGCCCCCCAACCCCAAUCCCCGAAAGAGAAGCUCCCGGCUCCAAAUCAAACUUCCCUCCGCCUUCCUGCCUCCUACCCUCGCCGGCGCGGCUUUUAGUUUUAUUUCCACCCAAGAUUAGCCUCCAGCUCAAGCCAACUCAUUCAGCUCGGUCUCGAUGGAAGCCGAUGACGCCGCUGCCAAGCUUCGGAACAUCAACGACGCGAUGGAUGAGGUGCGCCUCAGAAGCCUCGGCUGUAGGAGAUGCACCAUCGAGGAGGCGAUAGGGGACAUGUCCAGCAAGAACUUGGAGCGGAAUCGCAGGUUCUACCGCACGCUGCAGGCUACCGCCGACCUCGCCGAGGUUGACCCAUGGGAUCUGCCGCGGCGAUUCAUCAUGCCGAAGAAGCCGGGGAGCUCAAGCCUGCGGACACAUUCUGGGUACUGGAAAGAGAAAGAAGAUGAGUUCACCGCGAUGCGCUCCAAUGGAGGAGGAGAAGGCUCGUCCUCGCCCUCCAGCUCGCCGUCCUUCCAUGGGGUUACGAGGACCCUGGAGUUUUACGAGCACAACGGCACCAAGACGGACUGGGUCAUCCACGAGUACAACCUGCUCGAUAAUGACAUGUUUGUCUAGUUGUAGGAGGAUGUGGUCUUUCGUAAGGUAUUCAACAAAAAGCACACAGAUCGGGUCCCAUAUUAUUCAAAGGGUGUUGACGUAGACCUGGAAGUUUACCUUGAUGCAGCACUCGCCAACCCUGAACACAACAAGGACAUGAUGGCGGAUCUGCAAAGUGCUAUGCUUCAUUUUUACUAUUUCUGCGUGCCCGAGUUGACGAGUUGGAGAGGUCUUGAUAAAGAAAGAUACGAGCGUAGGAAGUUUCUAACUGCGUCUGCUGCUCCAGAUAGAGAAUCAUCAGACGAUGUUUGGCAGCACUUCACCAGGAUAAACACCAAAGAUCCCGAUGUGGUGUACGCAGCGUGCCACCACUGUGACAGGGUGCUCAGGGCUCAUUCCAAGAAUGGCACUUCUCACCUCAGAAGGCACCGUAAGAGCAAGACAUGUACAUGCAACAACAAUCCAUUGUCCACCACUGAAGACCAGGAGAUCCUGCGUGAGCUUCGCGCAAACCUUGAUCUCUACAAGCAGGGGAAUAUGGAGGGAAGGGUCGACUCUCCGGAGCUCAACGCUAGUGUGGAUCCAUGGGAUCUUUCCACCCCACGCUACUGCACGAACUUGCUAAGCCUGAAGACGCAUCAGGGGCGCUGGGAGGAGAUUAAGAGUAAUGACAAGCUCAUUGCAAUCCGCAUCGGUCAGCUGCCGGUGCCGCAGUACGCCGGGAUGAAGAGGACCCUCGAAUUCCACCAUGACAAUGGCACCAAGAUGGACUGGAUCAUGCUCGAGUACCACCAGGUCGAUGAGUACAAGACCCCCCGACCUGCUUCUUGAGGGGAGCAUGGUGUUUCGCAAGGUAAUCCAAAUUUUCAAAGAUGCGGUCAAAGAGUUGGAAAGAAUGUGGAAUGGGGACGACGACGAAGAAGAGCACUACAUCGGUGAGCGUGAAGAAGAGGUGAAAGCGCGCAUGAGCACCUUGCUCCGUGACUGCUUGCUCGGUGAGGUUGGUCAAUGUGAUCAAUCACGGCUUGGAAAGCGCAAGAGAACUGGUGGUCCGGAUGGGUUGGUCAAUGUGAUCAAUCACGGCUUGGAAAGCGCAAGAGAACUGGUGGUCCGGAUGGUGGAUCAGAAGUUUGGUUGUAUUUCACUAAGAUUUACACCACAGAUCCUGGCAGGGUGUAUGCAGUGUGCCACUGUUGUGACAGGGGCUACAAGUUUCAUGCGAAGAACGGCACCUCUCAGUUCAUAAGGCACAACAAAUCAUGCUCAAGCAAGCGCCAGAAAGUGUAGAGGAAGAAUCAGUUUGGCAAUUUGUACAGUCUUCAGGAAAUAUGAACCUCAGAACAGGAGGAGUGAAUGCGCUGAAGCUAGGAACGAAAAGGAUGACCUUAAGCUGUCUUUUCCUUCUUCUCAAUGUUUCCUUUUCUCAGUUUGUUUUAGGCUUGAUCUAUCCUAAAAGUACUGUCUUUAUUCCGAAAAUAAUGUAGUGUCAGUAUGGCUAAGUCGUUGAGUUCUAUCUGAGGUCGUUUUACUUUUAGGUACAAUGAUACUUGUGCCACUUAAUCUAUGAUUUGGAUAUUGGAGGAGUAAUAUCUUCUGUAUAUAAAAUGUGGAGGUUGAUUUAAUAGUAAGAUGUAUUUGAUUUGGGAUCUGGA